rnacentral:rRNA from 1 species
CCCUUAGAUGUCCGGGGCCGCACGCGCGCUACACUGAAGGAAUCAGCGUGGCUUUCUCCCCGACCCGAAAGGGUUGGGAAACCCGUUGAAUCUCCUUCGUGAUAGGGAUUGGGGCUUGAAAUUGUUCCCCAUGAACGAGGAAUUCCCAGUAAGCGCGAGUCAUAAGCUCGCGUUGAUUACGUCCCUGCCCUUUGUACACACCGCCCGUCGCUACUACCGAUUGAACGGUUUAGUGAGGGCCUCGGAUUGGUCUCGGCCCGCUCUUCACCGGGCGGCGCCGUUGGUCGAGAAGACGCUCGAACUUGAUCGUUUAGAGGAAGUAAAAGUCGUAACA